AGCAGCCGCGGUAAUUCCAGCUCCAAUAGCGUAUAUUAAAGUUGUUGCAGUUAAAAAGCUCGUAGUUGAAUCUCGGGGUUAGUAGGUCGGUCAUGCCACUGGUAUGUACUGGUCUCACUGAUUCCUCCUUCCUGAUGAACCGUAAUGCCAUUAAUUUGGUGUUGCGGGGAAACUGGACUGUUACUUUGAAAAAAUUGAGUGUUUAAAGCAGGCUAACGCUUGAAUACAUUAGCAUGGAAUAAUGAAAUAGGACGUUCGAUCCUAUUUUGUUGGUUUCUAGGAUUGACGUAAUGAUUAAUAGGGAUAGUUGGGGGCAUUAGUAUUCAAUUGUCAGAGGUGAAAUUCUUGGAUUUUAUUGAAGACUAACUACUGCGAAAGCAUUUGCCAAGGAUGUUUUCAUUAAUCAAGAACGAAAGUUAGGGAAGUCGAAGACGAUCAGAUACCGUCGUAGUCUUAACCAUAAACUAUGCCGACUAGGGAUCGGAUGAUGUUAAUUUUUAAUGACUCAUUCGGCGCCUUA
rnacentral:rRNA from 1 species